GAUGAACGCUGGCGGCGUGCCUAAUACAUGCAAGUCGAGCGAACGGACGAGAAGCUUGCUUCUCUGAUGUUAGCGGCGGACGGGUGAGUAACACGUGGAUAACCUACCUAGAAGACGGGGAUAACUUCGGGAAACCGGAGCUAAUACCGCAUGAUAUUUUGAACCGCAUGGUUCAUAAUUGAAAGACGGUAUUGCUCUCACUUAUAGAGGGAUGCGCGCUGCAUUAGCUAGUUGGGAAGUUAACGGCAUACCAAGGCAACGAUGCAUAGCCGACCUGAGAGUGUGCUCCGCCACAGUGAAACUGAGACAGGCCCCAGACUCAUACGGGACGCAGCAGUAGGGACUCUUGCGAAAUGGGCGACAGCCUGCCGGCGCAACGCCGCGUGAGUGAUGAAGGUCUGCGGAUCGUAAAUCUCUGGUAUUAGGGAAGAACAUAUGUGUAAGUAACUGUGCACAUGUGGACGGUACCUAAUCAGAAAGCAACGGCUAACUCCGU
rnacentral:rRNA from 1 species